CCUCGGAAUCGCCGCGGGGGACAGACCCCCAGCCUCCCGCGCUCUCGGGGUUCCGCGGCCGUGGAAGGAGCCUCUGUCUGGGGAAACCUCAGCCUCCUGCUUACGAGAGGACUGAGCGACUUGGACUCGUGGAGGGGAGAGUGAACACUGGGUCUCCCCGGGGUGGGGAGGAGUGUGGGGGCGCCGCAGGGUGCAGGACCCCAGCAGUGCUGGUGGUCCCAGGGACGGUCCGCAGCCCUGCCCCCGGAGGCUGUGGUCGCUUCGUGGGGACUCCAUCUCCCGGAGAGUAAGGAGAGAUUCUCCCUCUGGAGCUGAGCGCACUGGCAUUGCGGUUGGAGCUCAGGGAAGCACUUCGGGGUGGGGGGAGGCUAUUGCCCCCACUUCUGGGAAAGGCCAUGUCCCCAGUUCAGGGGAAGGCUUUUGGCCCGGCUUUGGGGGACGAAUCAGAACCGAGCCCUUAAGAAUUGUAUUACGAUUUUGAGAGACCUCUGGGACUUACGGAGAAGUUAAUGAAAGACACUGAAAAUGUUAUCCGUGCCUUUCAAAAGGGAGAUAGGGAGGCCGACCCCAAGGGAAAUACCCCAAGCCUUAUGGACUAAAGGAACAAUCUACUCAUUCCUUGGGGAGAACGACAAGCUAGGAGGGAGAUGUAAGAAGAACGGGGCCUAAAGGCAGGAAAGAAGGCGGCUAGAGGAUGCUUUUUCCCUGUGUAUUUACACCAAAGUUCCAAGAAAAGGGACUUGAAAUUCUUUGUUUCAGUAUGUCUUCCCCCCACCCCUGCUAAUGUGGGUAGCAGUAAGGAAAGAACAAAACCCUGGAGAAGAAGGUGGUUUGAUAUCCUUGGCUUAGUUAGGUUAAGUGAAGAAGCAAGGAUCUGAGGCUUUGAGUAGAUACUCAGGAUAGGGGAAUUAGGAGGGGUGGGGGGGUUGAAACAACAACAACAAAAAAACCAACCCGUUGCCAUCCAGUGGAUUCUGGCUCAGAGCGACCCUAUAGAGGAGGAAUAUAGGGAAAAGACUGAGCAGAGCAGGAAUGCCACAGCGCUUUUCUGUCACCUAACCCCAGCUCUGAAGAAAAAGAUGACCAGAGGCUAAAUUUUUUUGGGGGGGAGGGGAGUAGGAAAGGUUAACUGGUAGAGAAUUUGUAGUAUGAUUAGGGGGUUGGGAGUCCAUGUAACUUGAAAGGAAGAUGAAACAUGCUCUUGGAGGUUAAGGAGGAGGAUAGCAGAAAAGGGAAAAUCACAGGAUUGGGAAAUACAGAGGCUCACAUUAAAAAAAAAAAAAGCCAAAUCCGUUGCCGUGGAGUCCAUUCCUACUCAUAUCGACCCUAUAGGACAGGGUAGAACUGCCCCAUAGAGUUUCCGAAGAACACCUGGUGGAUUUGAACAGCUGACCUUCUGGUUAGCAGCUGUAGCACUUAACCACUACACCAGCUGGGUUUCCUUAGGGAGGAAGAAGCAGCUUCCUCCCAGGAAUAGUGACGGUUUGGUGGGUGCUGGUGUGUGUGUGUAUACACAUGUAUGGACAUGAGUGCACCUUUAGAUUUGCUGGUAUCGGUCAUUGUUUCUCAGUCUUUGUCUGAAAGCCCUAACUUGUGUUGAAUGCUGCUACAUGAAUUAGCUUUGUUUCUGAAAAAUUAUCCUGAAAACAUCAUCGGUUUUUAUGUCAGUAGUGAGCCUGAAGAGGAGUUGGUUCUAACAGGAAUAUUGGCCCUACCAUACCCAGUGAUUAUUCUAAUUUCUUAAAUAGCAAUUCUGACUCUUGAUUUUAAGCAAAAAAAAAUGUGAGUGCUGCCAGAGGCAAUAAUGCGGGAACCUGACGUGAAAGAAAAAAGGCUUUCGUGAAUUUUUUUUUUCUCUUAGUUUUUCUCUCCUUACUCUAAGCAUUCUAGGACUGAGCAGAUUAAUUUUAUACAAAACAAAAUGUAAACUCUUGGGGCCUUUUAAUUUAAAAAUGAUAGCAUUUCAUUUAUCAGUGAAUGUUUUUGUAGCACUACCUCUUCAAAUGCUUUAUUUAAUGAUCAGGAUUAAAAUGAGGGGAAAAAAAGAAUUAAAGUAAGACUUGGGUAACUAAUGACAGCAAUGAUUCAUAGAGAUUUCUUUAACCGUUCUAGUAUUUUUAAAGGAACUUUAACAUCUUACUGUUUUAAACAAUACAUUGCAAGUAUAGACGGGUUUAGAGCCGCACGUUUGAACAUAACUGUCUGUGUGAACUGUUCCUGGGUUUCCCCGAAGCACAAGUAGCUCUGGCCUUAUGUACAGUUAUGAACAGACCAGUAUAAUGCUUUCAGGCUUCAAAAGACAGUUUUUAUAUACCUUUAGUUUAAACAAAUUUGAAGAUACACUUUGGAAAAGAAAUACAUGUGAGCAAUUUGGGAAUAAAAUUUAUUCAAGGGAGUCAGAAUUGGGUGAACCAGAGUGGCACUGAUGCCAGAUGGUUUGAAAAUAUGCUCAGGCUGAAAACAUGAACGUGCCUGCGCUGGUGAACGCUUGUCGGUAGAGCUCUUUCCCUUACAGCUGAGCUUAUUAUUCCACCGAAUUUGGACGGGGGUUCAUGAAUGAUGUAGCAAGUACUUCACCUUUAACACUUGUCAGUUCCUUUUUUCAAUAAAUGUGAACGAAGUUUUACCAUUUUUUUAAUUAGUGAAUAGGUAAAGUGGUUCGUUUUGGAGAUUCUCUCCCUUUCACAGUAUAUUUUACAUCACGAUGGAAAGGCGAUGUGAUGAUGAAUCAUACGUCUUCUUUCUUACAGUAAUAAUUGUGUACUAAAAUGUGAUAUUUGAGACUUAGUUUGCUUUAAAUUGUGGCUUUCUACUUAAAUGAAAAUGCUCUUAAAGUUACCAGAACAAUCAAAAACGUAUCUGAGGAAAUAACUGUUCUAUUUUGAGGCAUUGUACAUUUGGGCAAAAAGGCUGUACUUAUUUGAAUCUUAACAAUGUUAAGAUUUAAGUGUCAAACUAGUUUUUAAUCUAAUAUCAUACUCAGUAGAUGCAGUAGUGGCUCAAGGAGGUGUAUGGAAUUAUCUAUACCAUGGUUUUUGGUAAUAGGCAGUAUAGCACAUCCACUUUUAACUCUAAAUUUUUUUCGUAAUUAAAAAUCUCCGUAAAUCAUCCUAUGUAAUUUCAGAAGUAAUUUAAAUUACAUUUCUUGAGAGUAAAAAGCUAUAUAUAUAUAAUACUGGUCUUUGAAUAAUAUCCAGUAUUUCCAUAAUAUAUUUCUACAAUAUGUAUAUAUAUAUUUUAUUAUCUUCCUGUGGCUCUGAUAUAUUUGUAGUCAUGACUAACCAGGUUUACAUGACUAAAGCUGCUGAUUUAGAUUACUAAUCAGGAUAUAUAUUUGAAUUUACAUUUUGGAGCUCUGUAUUUUAAACAGUUUAUUUUUUAAAGUAAAUAUUCCAUGUAAAUUUUUAUAUAGUUGCCAGUUUCUUGGUCUUAAAGGAUACUUAAUCUUAGCAUUUUAUAUGAUCAGUAUUUCAUAAUAUAUUUAAGAGGUACAAAGAUGUGGUUUACUUAAUGUGAUAAAAAUAUGUAACAAAACAUUUGCCAUUUCAACAUUUUUUGUAUGUGUAAUUCAUUGACAUUAAUUCCGUUCAUCAUGUUGUGCAGCCAUCACCACUGUCCGUUUCCAGAUUUUUCCAUCACCCUUAACAGAAACUCAGUGCCGCCUAAGCAACUACUUCCCUUCCGCCUCCCGCACACCAGUGGUAACCACUAAUGAGUUUUGGUCUUUAUUUAUUUGUCUGUUUUAAAUAUUUUAUAUAAAUGGGAUCAUACAGUAUUGUCCUUUUAUGACUGGCUUAUUUCACUCUGCAUAAUGCUUUCAAGCUUAAAAAGACAGUUUUUAUAUACUUUCAGUAUAAACAAAUAUGAAGAUUCACUUUGGAGAAGAAAUAUAUGUGAACAAUUUGAGAAUAAAGUUUAUUCAAGGGAGUUAAAAUUGAACAAAUCAUUUUUUAAUACAAGAUUUUUUAAAAAUCCCGUUGAAGUUUCAUAUUAUCAGAAUUUAGCUAACAUAAUUAAAAUAUAAUGAUAGCCAUAUUAUACAUACUAUCAUUUUAAAAUAAAUAACUCAUUAAAUUUUGAUAUCAUAUUUCCCUUAUGAUUUCUGACUCUGUUUUUCCCCCUUGUGAAGAUCUUUCUUUCCCUUUUUUGGUUGUUAUGAGUAAUGAAAGGAGGUAAGAAGAUUCUGAUAUUUCUAAGCAUUUCAUUCAUAAUUUUUCUUCCAUCCUGAAUCUGUCCCUUUUACCUUCCAUGUUGUCAAAAAAAAGUUUGUGAAAACUUUGCUCAGCAUGGACUAGACUUGGAAGAAAGGACUGGAAUGGUGAGAAGUGAACAGUUUCUUCUCACUAAUAUGAUGUCGUUAGGUGCCGUCGAGUCGGUUUCGACUUAUAGUGACCUGUGGACAACAGAAUGAAACACUGUUCGGUCCUGCACCAUCCUUGCACUCCUUGCUGUGUUAGAGCUCAUUGUUGUAGCCACUGUGUCAAUCCAUCUCAUUGACAGUCUUCCUCUUUUUCGCUGGCCCUCUACUUUACCAAGCAUGAUGUCCUUCUCCAGUUACUGGUCCCUCCUGAUAAAAUGUCCAAAGUUGUGAGAUGAAAAUCUUGUCUUCCUCGCUUCUAAGAAGCAUUCUGCCUGUACUUCUUCCACAACAGAUUUGUUUGUUCUUGUGGCAGUCCAUGGUAUAUUCAGGAUUCUUCAUCAGCACCAUAAUUCAAAUGCAUCAAUUCUUCAGUCUUCAUUAUUCAUUGUCCAGCUUUCACGUGCAUAUGACGUGGUUGAAGCUGGUGUGGCUUGGGUCAGGCCCACCUUAGUCCUCAAGGUGACAUCCUUAAUCUUUAACACUUUAAAAGAGGGCUUUUGCAAUAGAUUUAUCCAAUGCAGUAUGUUGUUUAAUUCUUGACUGCUGCUUCCAUGGGUGUUGGUUGUGGAUCCAAGCAAAAUGAAAUGCUUGACAGCUUUAAUCUUUUCUCCGUUUAUCAGGAUGUUGCUGAUUUAUCCAGUUGUGAGGAUUUUUGUUUUCUUAUGUUUAGGUGUAAUCCAUACUGAAGGCUGUGGUAUUUGAUCUUCAUCGGUAAGUGCUUCAAGUCUUCACUUUCAGCAGGCAAGGUUGUGUCAUCUGCAUAUCGCAGGUUGUUAAUGAGUUUUCCUUCAAUCCUGAUGCCACGUUCUUCUCCGUAUUGUCCAGCUUCUCAGAAUAUUUGCUCAGUAUAUAGAUAGGAUAAGUAUGGUGAAAGGAUACAGCCCUGACACACACUUUGCCUGAUUUUAAAACAUGCAGUGUUUCCUCAUUCUGUUUGAAUGAUGGCCUCUUGGUCUAUGUACAGGUUCUUCAUGAGCACAAUUAAGUGUUCUGGAAUUCCCAUUUUCCACAAUGUUAUCCAUAAUUCGCUAUGAUCCACAUAGCCAGAUGCCUUUGCAUAAUCAGUAAAACACAGGUAAACGUCUUUCUGGUAUUCUAUGCUUUCAGCCAAGAUCCAUCUGAUAUCAGCAAUAAUAGCCCUCAUUCCACACAUCUUCUUCUGAAUCUGGCUUGAAUUUCUAGCAGUUCUUGUCGAGGUACUGCUGCAACUGCUUCUGAGUUAUCUUCAGCAUAAUUUUACUUCCAUGUGAUAUUAAUGAUACUGUUCGAUAAUUUCCACAUCCUGUUGGAUCACCUUUCUUUGCAAUGCGCUUGAAUACAGAUCUUUUCCAGUCAGAUGGUCGGGUAGCUAUCUUCCAAGUUUCUUGGCACAGAUGAGUAACCACUUCCAGCAUUGCAUCCAUUUGUUGAAACAUCUGAAUUGGUAUUCUGUCAACUCCUGGAGACUUAUUUUUCACCAGUGCCUCCAGUGCAGCUUGGACUUCUUCCGUCAGUACCAUUGGUUCUUGAUCAUAUGCUACCUCCUGAAAUGGCUGAACGUCGACCUGUUCUUAUUGGUACAGUGACUCUGUAUUCCUUCCAUCUUCUUUUAAUGCUUCCUGUGUCAUUCAGUUUUUUGCCGAUGGAAUUCUUCAGUAUUGCGACUCAAGGCUUGAAUUUUUUCUUCAGUUCUUUCAGCUUGAGAAAUGCCGAGCGUGUUCUUCUCUUUUGGUUUCCAACUCCAGGUCUCUACACACUUCAUUAUAAUACUUUGUCUUCUUGAGCGCCUUUGAAAUCUUCUGUUCACCUCUUUUACUUCAUCAUUUCUUCCUUUUGCUUUACCUCCUCGACGUUCAAGAGCAAGUUUCAGAGUCUCUUCUGACAUCCAUUUUGGUCUUUUCUUUCUUUCUUGUCUUUUUAAUGACCUUUUGUUUUCUUCAUGUAUGAUAUUCUUGAUGUCAUCCCACAACUCGUCUGGUCUUCAGUCAUUAGUGUUCAGUGCAUCAAAUCUGUUCCUGAGAUGGUCUCUAAAUUCAAGUGGUAUGUGUUUGAUGUUGUACUUAAGCUCACUUGGACUUAUUUUAGUUUUCUUCAGCUUCAACUUGAACAUGCAUAUGAGCAAUUGAUGAUUUGUUCUGCAGUCAGCCCCUGACCUUAAUUCUGACUGAUGGUGUUGAGCUUCUGCAUCAUUUUUUUCCACAGGUGUAGUCGAUUGGAUUCCUUUUUUAUACCAUCCAGCAAGGUUCACCUGUAUAUUUGCCAUAUAUGUUGUUGAAAAAAAGGUAUUUCCAAUGAAUAAGUCAUUGGUCCUUCAAAAUUCUAUUGUGUGAUUUCAGGUGUCAUUUCUGUCACCAAGGCCAUAUUUUCCAACUACCAAUCCUUCUUCGUUUCCAACUUUCACACAGUAAUUAUCAAUGCAUCUUGAGUGCAUGUUUGAUCAAUUUCAGACUGCAGAAAUUGGUAAACAUCUUCAAUUUCUUCAUCUUUGGCAUUAGUGAUUGGUGUGUAAAUUUGAAUAAUAUUUGCAUUUACUCAUCUUCCUUGUAGGCGUGUGGAUAUUAUCCUGUCACUGACAGCAUUGUUAUUUCAGGGUAGAUCUUGAAAUGUUCUUUUUGACAAUGAAUGUGAUGCUGUUCCUCUUCAAUUUGUCAUUCUGGUCAUAGUAGACCAUAUGAUUGUUAAGAUUCUAAAUUGUCAAUACUAGUCCAUUUCAGCUCACUGAUGCCUUCUCGGAUAUGGGUCUUCAAGUGUUGCAUUUCACUUCCAAUUUUCCUUGAUUCGUACUUCCUACAUUCCAUGUUCCAAUUGUUAGUGAAUGUUUACAGCUGUUCUUAUUUUGAGUUGUUCCACAUCAGCAAAUGAAGGUCCCAAAAGCUUUACUCUCUCCAGGACAUUAACUCUACUUUGAGGAGGCAGUUCUUCCCUACUAUGGUAAGAUUAUUUAUAUCAGAGGUUUGUUAGUACUGUGUUGUUAGUUGCUUUAGGUAUAACAGAAUGAAGCAUUGUUCAGUCCAGCACUAUAUUGGACAGUAUUCUGUUGUGAUUCAUAAGGUUUUCAUUGGGCCAGUGAAAAAGAGGAAGCUUCUCAAUGAGGGAAACCCUGGUGGCAUAGUGGUUAAGUGCUAUAGCUGCUAACCAAGAGGUUGGCAGUUCAAAUCCGCCAGGCACUCCUUGGAAACUCUGUGGUCGCUGUGAGUCGAAAUUGACUCGAUGGCAGUGGGUUUGGUUUGGCUUUUUGGUUCUCAGUGAGAUGGAUUGACGUAGUGGCUACAAUAAUGGGCUCAAACAUAGCAAUGAUUGUGAGGAUGGCCUAAGACUGGGCAGUGUUUAGUUCUGUUAUACGUAAGGUCUCUAUGAGUCAUACAGAGCCCACUCAAAGGCACCUAACAACAACAAUAGUUUUUGGAAUUAUAUUACCAGGCCUUUCUUCCUAGUGUGUCUUAGUCUGGAAGCUUUUCUGAAACCUGUUCACCAUGGGUGACCCUGCUGGUAUUUGAAAUAUUGUUGACAUAGCUUCUAGCAUUAUAACAACAUGGAAGCCACCACAGUGUGACAGACUGACAGAUGGCGGUAGUAGUUCUUUGAAAUACCCCUUAAAAUUCAUCGUAUGGUAAUGAUUCAUCUUAAAGCCAAGGUCAGAUAAAGUAUGUGUGUGUUUUGGGGGGAGUUAAAUUAUGAUUGUUUAAUGUCUACCUGGUAAAGCCAAAUUAUUCCAGUAUUGCUUAAUAUACUCAAAGGUAUGACAUGGAAAAUAAAAUUUAUUGUUUGAUUAUUAUCCAGGCUUGUAAAAUAUUUUAUAAUGUUUCAACAUUUAGCAAAUUUUAAGCAAAGACAUGCUUUGCUGUAUAAUACCUUAAACAAGUCAGAAAAAUCUAGCAUUCAUUGUGUACAUAUUUAGUACACAAUUGUGUAAGUUCUUAGUACACAAUAUUCCAAACACUUUACAUACUUUGCUUAUUUCAGUUUUAUGUAGGUACUGUUAUUAGACCUAUUUUACAGAUGAGGGGGCUGAGGCACAGACAGACUGUCACUUCUCCAGGGUCAUGCAGCUAGUAAGUGACAAGCUGAGAUUUGAACCCAGGCAGUCUGAUCUCAGAACCCAAGCUCUUGAUCUUUAUUUAUAGACCAUCUUCUACUGCCAGAACAACUCGUUCUGUUUCGUUAUAUAAUGGACAUUGUUAAGAUAACUUCUUUAAUUUAUGAAAUUCACUCUAAUCUUAAAAUUUUAAAAAUGCUUCAAAUUAGAGAGAUGUGUUCUAAAUUAAUCCCAGUAUCCAGAAUUGAAAUAACAUCAGGCAAGUAUAAUUUUCCUUCAAAAGUAUUGAAGAGCUCAUUUGUUUUUUCUGUAGCUGCCUUUAUGCCUUCACAUGCUCGGCAGCUUAUCUCAAGAGACUCAGUGUGAUUUAAGAAUGGAUUCAAAUAGGUUACCAAUUGCCUACAAUAUUAAUAAUUCAUUCUGGAAAAUAACUUCCCCUUUUUGGCAGCCCUUUCCUAUCUUCUAGUCCUCUUCCAGUCUACAUCCUGUAGAGGGAUGGUUAAGGAGUGGCUGAACGAGGAGGUAUCAGGAAGGGAAAUUGUAGAAUCCCAGGCUACAGAGACAACAGAAUGCUGCACUGAGCCCACUAGGAAGGUGCUCCUUUGCUUUUCAUGAAAAUAGUGUGAUUGUUUAGCCUAAGCUUUAACUUAACUGUACAAGUAUUUUACAUAGGAUCGGUGUAUUUACGUUAUUUCCUGUCAUAAAAAGAUUUGUAUGUAAUAAAAGCAGGGAUCAAAGGGUAGUGUGGUUUGGGGGAACUCAUCUUCCCAUUGGCGAAAAACAAGGCUCUGGGAAUUGAUGAAAUACCAAUUGAGAUGUUUCAAAAAUCGGAUGCAGCGCUGAAAGUGCUCACUCAUCUAUGCCAAGAAAUUUGGAGGACAGCUACCUGGCCAACUGACUGGAAGAAAGGUGAUCCAACCAAAUUUGGAAAUUAUUGAACAACAUCAUUAAUAUCACAUGCAAGCAAAAUUUUGCUGAAGAUCAUUCAAAAGCGGCUGCAGCAGUGUAUCAACAGGGAACUGCCAGAAAUUCAAGCUGGAUUCAGAAGAGGACAUGGAACCAGGGAUAUCAUUGCUGAUGUCAGACGGAUCCUGGCUGAAAGCAGAGAACACCGGAAAGAUGUUUACCUGUGUUUUAUUGACUAUGCUAAGGCAUUCAUCUAUGUGGACCAUAACAAAUUAUGGAUAACAUUGGGGAGAAUGGGAAUUCCAGAACACUUAAUCGUGCUCAUGAGGAACCUGUACAUAGAUCAAAAGGCAGUUGUUUGGACAGGACAGGGGGAUACUGUGUGGUUUAAAAUCAGGAAAGGUAUGUGUGAGGGUUGUUUCCUUUCACCAUACCUAUUCCAUCUGUAUGCUGAGCAAAUAAUCAGAGUAGCUAGACUAUGUGAAGAAAAAUGGGGCAUCAGGAUUGGUGAAGACUCAUUAACAACCUGCAAUAUGCAGAUGACACAACCUUGCUUGUUGAAAGUGAAGAGGACUUGAAGCACUUACUGAUGAAGAUCAAAGACCACAGUCUUCAGUAUGUAUUACACCUCAGCAUAAAGAAAACAAAAAUCCUCACAACUGGACCUGUAAGCAACAUUAUGAUGAAUGGAGAAUAGAUUGAGGUUAUCAAGGAUUUCAUUUUACUUGGAUCCACAGUCAACACCCAUGGAAGCAACAGUCAAGAAAUCGAAAGGCACAUUGCAUUGGGCAAAUCUGCUGCAAAAGACCUCUUUAAAGUGUUGAAAAGCAAAGCUGUGACCUUGAAGACUAAGGUGCACCUGACCCAAGCCAUGGUGUUUUCUUUCACCUCCUAUGCAUGCAGAAGCUGGGCAAUAAAUAAGGAAGACCAAAGAAGAAUUGAUGGCUUUGAAUUGUGGUGUUGGCGAAGAAUAUUGAAUAUACCACGGACUGCCAAAAGAACAAACAAAUCUGUCUUGGAAGAAGUACAACCAGAACGCUCCAUAGAAGCAAGGAUGGCAAGACUAUGUCUCACAUACUUUGGAUAUGUUAUCAGGAGGGAUUAGUCACUGGAGAAGGACAUCAAGCUUGGUAAAGUAGGGGGUCAGCGAAAAAGAGGAAGACCCUCAACAAGAUGGAUUGACACCGUGGCUGCAACAGUGGGUUCAAGCAUAGCAACAAUUGUGAGGAUGGCGCAGGACUGGGCGGUGUUUUGUUCUUUGUGCCUAGGGUCGCUAUGAGUCGGAAUCGACUCAACGGCACCUAACAACAACGACAAUAUUUCUAUAGGAGCUCUGUGGCACAGUGGUUAAAGCACGCGGCUGCUAACUGAAAGUUCAGGGAUUUGAACCCACCAGCCACUCUGUGGGAGAAAGACGUGGCAGUCUAGUUCCAUAAAGAUUUACAGCCUUGGAAACCCUGUGGGACAGUUCUACUCUGUCCUGCAGGAUUGCUAUGAGUCAGAAUAGACUUGAUGGCAGUAGGUUUAAUACUUGUUUGUUAUGGUUUAGAGUUUUAGUGCUUAAACAAAAAUAAAUGUUUGAACCCUUCAAGAGCAUUAUUUACCGUUAUUCUGGUAAGAGAAGCCAUUACAGUUUUCGCUAAAUUUUCCUAAUUGGUUUAACUACUCUAGAUAAUAUACCACAACAUUUUUUGGACACAAGUCUGAAUUUUCAGAGAACUAUUUUCAGUUUGUUUGAUUGAACAAUACUAAUGUUUCACAGUGCACUUAUUAUAAAAUCAUUUGGUAGAAGCUUUCUAGCAAAACCUAAAUAGUGAAACAUCACUUACUCUAUUAGAUAUCACGUGUUUAGGGGCGUAGGGUACCACUGGUUUAUUUAAGCUGUUAACAGCUUGUGUCACCAGCAUUACUAAUUCUCUCCAUUCCAGUUAAUACAUAGUAAAUUAGGGUACAAAUAUCAGUAGGUUUACGUAUAAACAUGUAAUCCUACUCCCAAAUCUUAGUUUAAGUAAUUUGUCUUUCAUAACCUUUGUGUACUAGUUUUAAAGAAUUCCAUAUUUCUACAUCUUAGUCUUUAUAUUACGGCCUGCAUAUAUUCGCAUUUUGAAGAUUUUUCUUGAAAAUAGUAUAAUAGUUAUUCAGUUGUUGUGUAGAAUAUAAAUAGACUUUUUAAAGGUAUAGCUUUAAGUUUUGUGUUUCCUAUGAAUAUUAGGUUUGGCAUUUUAGAUGGCUCUUUUAAAAUUUCUAUGAGGAAAUUAAAAUUUUUUAAAAUAAAAUUAUUUAUACAAAGCCAAAGCAUAGAGUUUUCCUAAGGCCGAAUCAUAUCUGGAAUAAUAAAAUGAUAAUCCUUUUUUUUUUUUGAAGGAGAAAGCAGAUAGCUACUUUGGACCUGUUGGUAAUGAUGGCCUGAGCAAAGCACCUCCCAAUUUGAAGGGACACCCUUCUGCUUUAAAGAACAGAAUGCUGAGGAAGCUAUGGCAAGUGAUUGGAGUUUCGCUUCAACAAUUUCAGCAGUUCAGCAGUAUUUUAUCUGCCGACAGUAAGCUCUUUACUUGAUUGCACCAUGAAAAAGCUGCUAAUGAGACUUGUCAAGCACAAAAAUGGACUUGAAGGACCAAAAGCCAUUGUUUUCAAAUGAAGAAUACUGUUCUUCAGACAGGACAGUUCUAAGCCUCAAUGCUUUUUAACCACCACUGAGAUUUCUUCCCACAACAUCAGCAUGGCAAGCAGGCGAAAAUCCACGACACCCUGCAUGGUCCUUGCCAGUGAACAAGACCCAGACCUUGAGUUGACAGCAGGUUUGGGCGAAGGCCCUCCUGUUCUAACGCCUGUAGAAAACACCAGAGCAGAGAGCCUGUCCAGUGAUGAGGACGCUCGUGAGUCUGUGCAUUCCGACAAUCAGCAACACAAAGUAGAAGGCGGCUAUGAAUGUAAAUAUUGUACGUUUCAAACUCCAGACCUGAAUAUGUUUACUUUCCACGUGGACUCAGAACAUCCCCAUGUUGUGCUAAAUUCCUCCUACGUUUGUGUCGAAUGCAAUUUCCUUACCAAAAGGUAUGAUGCACUUUCUGAGCAUAAUCUGAAGUAUCACCCGGGAGAAGAGAAUUUUAAGUUGACUAUGGUGAAACGUAAUAACCAGACAAUCUUUGAGCAAACAGUAAACGACCUGACUUUCGAUGGUAGUUUUGUUAAAGAGGAGAAUUCAGAGCAAGCGGAAUCUACGGACGUUUCUUCCUCAGGAAUAUCUAUCAGCAAAACCCCUAUCAUGAAAAUGAUGAAGAGUAAAGCAGAGAACAAACGAAUUACAGUUCAUCAUAACUCGGUUGAAGACGUUCCUGAAGAGAAAGAGAAUGAAAUCAAACCGGACCAUGAAGAAAUUGUAGAAAAUCCAAGUUCUUCAGCCUCUGAAUCGAAUACCACUACUUCCAUUAUAAACAGACUACAUCCAAGUACUGCCAGCACAGUAGUGACCCCAGCCGCAGUUCUUCCCGGCUUAGCACAGGUGAUAACUGCCAUGUCAGCUCAGCAGAAUUCUAACUUGAUUCCCAAAGUCUUAAUCCCUGUUAACAGCAUUCCUACCUACAAUGCUGCGCUGGAUAACAACCCCCUUUUGCUUAACACCUACAACAAAUUCCCAUAUCCAACAAUGUCAGAAAUUACAGUUCUUUCUGCUCAAGCAAAAUAUACAGAGGAGCAGAUCAAGAUAUGGUUUUCGGCCCAACGUCUCAAACAUGGUGUUAGUUGGACUCCGGAAGAGGUAGAGGAGGCAAGAAGAAAACAAUUCAACGGAACAGUACAUACUGUACCUCAGACCAUAACCGUUAUCCCUACACACAUUUCCACAGCAAGUAAUGGUUUACCAUCCAUUUUACAGACAUGCCAAAUAGUUGGUCAGCCAGGUCUGGUUCUCACACAGGUAGCUGGAACAAAUACCUUGCCAGUAACAGCACCGAUAGCAUUGACGGUGGCAGGAGUUCCAAAUCAAACAAACGCACAGAAAAGUCAGGUACCUGCUACUCAGCCUGUUGUAGAGACAAAGCCAGCAGCAGCAGCAGCAGCAGCAGCAGCAGCAGUUACAACUUCUCAGCUUGUCAAACAAGAAACUGCAUUGGCAAACCCUGACUCGUUUGGCAUUCGGGCAAAAAAGACUAAAGAGCAGCUGGCAGAAUUAAAAGUCAGCUACCUUAAAAAUCAGUUUCCCCAUGACUCAGAAAUUAUCAGACUUAUGAAAAUCACAGGCCUGACUAAAGGAGAGAUUAAAAAGUGGUUUAGUGACACCAGGUACAACCAGAGAAAUUCAAAGAGUAAUCAGUGCUUGCAUCUCAACAAUGAUUCCUUGACCACCAUUAUUAUAGACUCCAGUGAUGAAACCACAGAAUCGCCAACUGGUGUUAUUUCACAGCCAAAACAGUCCUGGAAUUCUAUUCCUGACUUUCCUCCACAAAAGUUUAAAGAGAAAACUGCAGAGCAGCUUCGGGCCCUUCAGGCAAGUUUUCUCAACAGCUCCGUGCUUACAGAUGAAGAAUUAAAUAGGUUAAGAGCGCAAACCAAACUUACCAGAAGAGAAAUUGAUACCUGGUUUACAGAGAGGAAUAAAUCAAAAGCUUUAAAGGAAGAGAAAAUGGAAAUGGAUGAAAGUAAUGCAAGUAGUUCCAAAGAAGAAGCUGGAGAAACGUCUCCUGGAGAUGAAUCUGCUGCCCCUAAAUCAGUGAGUACAGGCAAGAUGUGCAAAAAAUCACCUGAGCAGCUGCACAUGCUUAAAAGUGCAUUCGUCCGAACGCAGUGGCCAUCACCAGAAGAGUACGACAAGUUGGCCAAAGAAAGCGGGCUUGCUAGAUCAGACAUAGUUAGUUGGUUUGGGGACACCCGUUACGCUUGGAAAAAUGGAAACUUGAAAUGGUACUACUACUAUCAGAGCGCCAACGCGAGUGGUAUGAAUGGUCUGUCUUCCCUUAGGAAAAGAGGGAGAGGGAGACCCAAAGGCAGGGGGCGAGGCAGAUCGCGUGGACGGCCUCGAGGAAACAGAAGGUUGAACAACUGGGACAGGGGGCUGUCACUUAUAAAAUUUAAAACUGGAACUGCAAUACUUAAGGAUUAUUACCUGAAGCACAAAUUUCUGAAUGAACAAGACCUUGAUGAACUUGUUAACAGAUCACAUAUGGGCUAUGAGCAGGUCCGAGAGUGGUUUGCAGAAAGACAGCGAAGAUCCGAGUUAGGCAUAGAAUUAUUUGAAGAAAAUGAGGAGGAGGAUGAAAUAAUUGAUGAUCAGGAAGAAGAGGAAGAAGAGACAGAUGACAGUGAUACUUGGGAGCCUCCACGGCACGUGAAGCGGAAGCUUUCUAAAUCAGAUGACUGAAAUGAAAGAAUUCAAAAACGAAAACUAAAAAGAAGGGGAAAAGUAUACCGAAGGAAAGACUUACCACAGGGGUGAGGAUUGCUCAGUUUUAGGAAACUAGCUGCCUAAAGCAUUGAAGGAGAAUCAGUUCUUCAGCUCAAGAUGUCUGAGUUACUGUGAAUGGGCCCAAUCUUUGAUGAAACUGAAAACGUUUUGGGGCAUACACACUCAAACAAAAUAGGAUUCGGUACCCGAAAGAAACGGAACUUAAUGUAUUUUGUGCCAAAGUUAAACUACUGCAGCUGGCGGAAGUUCUGCGAUGUAAAUAGAACACUAAUUACAAAAACACCUUGUAAAAUUUUGAAUUUUAAUACAGCACAUUUUUAUUCUGAUAUGAUGAAGACAUUUGGAUUCUUAGACUUUCUGGAGGGAUUUAAUGACCACUAGAGCUUGUGCUCUUGUGUUUUGUCCAGCUCGAUACUGUAUGUCUGUAAGAUGGGCUCUGUUGCCCGUGUUCUCUCAUAUGUGAUUAAGCUUAUAGCUUUGAGUGACCAAACAUUUUACAGAGUAAAAACUGUUAGAAACAGGAAGAAAAAAUGGAUUUAUUUCUAUUUUAUUUAUGAGGCCCCUGCACUAAGAUUAAAAGUUGUGUCUGGGCUUAUAUAAUUUCACUGUAAGUGAAAAAACAGCCUAUUCACACAUUUUGGAACAGCAAGAUUUUGUGGUAGCACAGGCCUUUAGUGAUCGGCUCUUAUAUCGAACACUUUCAUGGAUGCUACUAUUGCUACUUAUAAUACUUCGGUUACUUUUCUCCUUAGAAGCUGAAUUUGCUUUUUUAUUAAACUAAAGAUAAUUAAUACCGAAGAAGGAAAAGAAACUGGCACAUGAAUUUGCAUAGGGAGAAACUCUGAAAUAAAUGUACCAAAAAUGUGAAAAAGAAUCAUAUAGUAAAUAUGUACUUAGUUUUUGUGUUUUGUUUAACAAUCAUGUGGAUAUUAGAAAUGUUUGUACAGGCGUCGGAUCAGAAUUUUCAAAAAUUAUCGUUCAGUGAAAUUUGUGUAACAAUUUCAGUGAAUAGAGAAAAUUCUGAACUGAUCAGGAGUUAAAAGUUAGCUUUUCACUUAGGCCUCGUGGGAGCGUUAACUGUUAACUCUUGCCAUGCCAGGAGACUGGGAGUCCUUACUAACUUAUUUGUAAAGACUGGUGCUGUUCACUUAGGGUGAGAAGGGCCCUUUCUUUUGUGACUAUAGGACCAUUUUUCCAAAUGUGCUUUCUUCUAGAAAAAAUGUUCAGUUUAAUUAGCUUUGGAUUUUAAAAUGUUUUUUCUGAAUGAAGAGAUAUAGUAGGCUUGGCCAGUUUAUUUUAUCUAAUUUAAUGAAUAAUAAAUAUUAAGCUCUUGGUUUUUACCUACAUGUUUGUCAGCUAAUGAAAAUGUUAGGAAAAAGCCUUGAAUAUGCAUGCUGCUUUCAUUUUUAUGAACUUUUUCUUUUUUAACUAUAGCUUUAUUAGUAAUUCCAAAAUGCUGCAGUUUAGCAGGUUUCUUCACUCAGCUGGCUUCGUGGGUGGCUUUUUUCAUACUACUGUUAACUUUUUUUAAAAAGAAGCAAUGUAAAGACUGCAACAACUUAAUGCACUAAACUGUUUUUCUUUUACAUGUUUAAAACUUCUUAAAGCACUCUGUAUUAUAAUGAUUAAAUCGCUCCCUUUUUUAAACCA